GAUGAACGCUGGCGGCGUGCCUAAUACAUGCAAGUCGAGCGAACAGACGAGGAGCUUGCUCCUCUGACGUUAGCGGCGGACGGGUGAGUAACACGUGGAUAACCUACCUAUAAGACUGGGAUAACUUCGGGAAACCGGAGCUAAUACCGGAUAAUAUAUUGAUCCGCAUGGUUCAAUAGUGAAAGACGGUUUUGCUGUCACUUAUAGAUGGAUCCGCGCCGCAUUAGCUAGUUGGUAAGGUAACGGCUUACCAAGGCAACGAUGCGUAGCCGACCUGAGAGGGUGAUCGGCCACACGGGAACUGAGACACGGUCCAGAGUCCUACGGGAGGCAGCAGUAGGGAAUCGUCCGCAAUGGGCGAAAGCCUGACGGAGCAACGCCGCGUGAGUGAUGAAGGUCUUCGGAUCGUAAAACUCUGUUAUUAGGGAAGAACAAAUGUGUAAGUAACUAUGCACGUCUUGACGGUACCUAAUCAGAAAGCCACGGCUAACUACGUG
rnacentral:rRNA from 1 species